CUCACAAAGACUAUUCUGAUUAAAAUUUUAUUGAAUAAAAUAUAAUGUAUCUCCUGAAAUCAUGAGCGGUCAAUUUCAUCUUGACUCAUACACCAACAUCGCAGGUACUUGACUGUGCCCCAAAAUCUUUCAUCACUGAAUUAUAAUUUCAGAUAGUUUAGCACCAAAGCACAGUGAGUUGCUUGCAAAACAACAUGAUAAUC
rnacentral:lncRNA from 1 species